GACGAACGCUGGCGGCGUGCUUAACACAUGCAAGUCGAACGGUGAAUGGAUCAGCUUGCUGGUUCUGGUUGAUUGGCGAACGGGUGAUUAACACGUGAUUAACCUGCCCCCUUCUUCUGGAUACCCGCAUGAAAGUGUGGCUAAUACGGGAUAUUCUGUGUCUGUCGCAUGGUGGGUCUUGGAAUUAUCUUGUUUCUGUGGUGGAUGGGCUCGCGGCCUAUCAGCUUGUUGGUGUGGUGAUGGCCUACCAAGGCGGGGACGGGUAGCCGGCCGGCGAGGGUGAACGGUGAUACGGGGACUGAGACACGGACAAGAGGACUACGGGACGCAGCAGUGGGGAACAGGGCGCAAGGGGGGGAAGCAUGAUGCAGCGACGCAGAGUGAGGGAGGGAGGCGUUCGGGUUGUAAACCUCUUCCGCGAGUGAAGAAGGCCUGCUACUUGUGAGGGGGAUGACGGUAGCUGGAGAAGAAGCGCCGGCUAACUACGUG
rnacentral:rRNA from 1 species